rnacentral:rRNA from 1 species
GACGAACGCUGGCGGCGUGCUUAACACAUGCAAGUCGAACGGUAAGGCCCUUCGGGGUACACGAGUGGCGAACGGGUGAGUAACACGUGGGUGAUCUGCCCUGCACUUCGGGAUAAGCCUGGGAAACUGGGUCUAAUACCGGAUAGGACUCCUGGCUUCAUGGUUGGGGGUGGCAAGCUUUUGCGGUGUGGGAUGGGCCCGCGGCCGAUCAGCUUGUUGGUGGGGUAAUGGCCUACCAAGGCGACGACGGGUAGCCGGCCUGAGAGGGUGACCGGUCACACUGGGAAUGAGAUACGGCCCAGACUCCUACGGGAGGCAGCAGUGGGGAAUAUUGCACAAUGGGCGCAAGCCUGAUGCAGCGACGCCGCGUGAGGGAUGACGGCCUUCGGGUUGUAAACCUCUUUCAGCUAUGACGAAGCGCAAGUGACGGUAGUAGCAGAAGAAGGACCGGCCAACUACGUGCCAGCCGCCGCAGUAA